AGUGGAUGGGGAGCAACCUAGUUGUGCGUGUGUAAAGGUAGUGCCAAGAAAAGCGAUGAUCAUGUUGAAAAUCAAUUCCCGGUACCCGAAACCGACACAGGUGGGCAAGUAGAGAAUACUAAGGGGCGCGAGGUAACUCUCUCCAAGGAACUCGGCAAAAUGACCCCGUAACUUAGGGAGAAGGGGUGCCACCGAGAGGUGGUCGCAGUGAAGAGGCCCAGGCGACUGUUUAGCAAAAACAUAGGUCUCUGCAAACUCGAAAGAGGAGGUAUAGGGGCUGACGCCUGCCCAGUGCCGGAAGGUUAAAGAAGUUGGUCAGUCUUAGGAUGAAGCUAGCGACUGAAGCCCCGGUGAACGGCGGCCGUAACUAUAACGGUCCUAAGGUAGCGAAAUUCCUUGUCGGGUAAGUUCCGACCCGCACGAAAGGCGUAACGAUCUGGGCGCUGUCUCGGAGAGAGGCUCGGCGAAAUAGGAUUGUCUGUGACGAUACGGACUACCUGCAUUUGGACAGAAAGACCCUAUGAAGCUUUACUAUAGCUUGGAAUUGUGUUCGGGCUUCCUGUGCGCAGGAUAGGUGGGAGGCGUAGAAGGUAUUCUUGUGGGGAUACUGGAGCCAACGGUGAGAUACCACUCUCAGGAGGCUAGAAUUCUAACUUAAUUAAGGACAGUUUCAGGUGGGUAGUUUGACUGGGGCGGUCGCCUCCAAAAAGGUAACGGAGGCGUACAAAGGUUCCCUCAGACUGGUUGGAAAUCAGUCGAAGAGUGCAAAGGCAGAAGGGAGCUUGACUGCGAGAAGUACAGUUCGAGCAGGGUGGAAACACGGUCUUAGUGAUCCGACGGUGCUGUGUGGAAGGGCCGUCGCUCAACGGAUAAAAGUUACUCUAGGAUAACAGGCUGAUCUCCCCCAAGAGUUCACAUCGACGGGGAGGUUUGGCACCUCGAUGUCGGCUCAUCGCAACCUGGGGCGGAAGUACGUCCCAAGGGUUGGGCUGUUCGCCCAUUAAAGCGGUACGUGAGCUGGGUUCAGAACGUCGUGAGACAGUUCGGUCCAUAUCCGAUGUAGGCGUGAGAAUAUUGAGAGGAGCCUUCCUUAGUACGAGAGGACCGGGAAGGACGCACCGCUGGUGUACCUGUUAUGAUGCCAAUUGUAAACGCAGGGUAGCCAAGUGCGGAGAGGAUAACCGCUGAAAGCAUCUAAGUGGGAAGCCCACCUCAAGAUGAGUAUUCUGGUGUAAGGUCACGGGAAGACGACCCGUAAAUAGGCACGAGGUGGAAGUGCAGAGAUGUAUGAAGUCGAAGUGUACUAAUAGACCGUCGGCUUGACCAU
rnacentral:rRNA from 1 species